UGAAAUGCAAGGAGGUAAAGAUAAAGGUAGCCUGAGCUGCAUGAAGGAGCUGUGCCAACUGAGAGUUCAAGGGUAUAGUAGAAGACCGUGAUGUCUGGAAGACUACCAUAUGAGGAGUUAGUGAUCCAUAUAACGGCAAAUUCAGACCUCCAUUGUGCUCAGCCAGAGAGGGGAGCAAGACGGGACCUUUGGUGCUCUCUUUGUGCAUGCUCUUUGUGUAUCUAUGGAAAUGAGCACAGAAGGAGCCGUGAUGCUUGUGGUCGCACUUUUGUUUUGAAGUUAGCACAUAAAGGCAGUGAGAGUGCCUAAGGAAAAAAGAAAAAAUAAUGCAUAGAAAAAAUAAGACAGAGGCGUAAUGCAGCCAGAAGAUAGAAUACCUUUUAACCCUUCCUAUUUAUUUUCUUCUGUCAAUUUAUAAUAAGCAUAGUUGCCAAAUCCAUAUCAGCUGCAAAAUUAAUGCAAAAAUUUCUUCCUUUGGUAUCAAUAAUCCUACCAGCAAAACACACAUUAGAGCUAGUUAGCAUGAUCUGCUAUUCCAAGAGUUCAGCUAACAGG